rnacentral:lncRNA from 1 species
CCAGGAAAUUAUAAAAAUAUAUUAUAUGUAUUUUUUUUGUUUAUACAACUAAAAAUAAAAUAUUAAUUGCUACAUAGAAUCAAGAUUAAUGAGUUGUGAAACUCAGCUCUCUCUCUCUCUCUCUCUCAUCCUUAUCAGCAUCCGCAUGAACUCAAAGCCCUUCACCUGAAUAAGAGGAAAUUAAGCAGUACUAUCAUCAAAACACGCAUAUAUUAGCUGAAAUCAUGAUCGUAUAAUUAAAAUGGGUCCAAAUUGAUAAAUUAAAAAAAGCAAGAAUCUAGCGUGACUAUAUGGGAGAGAGAGAGACAGACAGAGGUGUAAAAAUAGUAUGCUAUAAGAAGUAAAAAGAAUAUAGUUAGAGAGGUACAGACACAAGAUAAUAAGAAUAUCUGUGUAUGUAUAUAUGUCUCCGGAGAGGAAGGAGUGAUGCUGUCAGAGCAUGACCUAGUUCGGGCUCAUUUUUCAUUUCUUUUAUAGAAACAGUUUCAUCUUCUUUCUAGAAGAAAGCGAAGAAGAAACAAACUAUCCCGACGUAGAUCAUGCUGGCAGCUUCACUUAUUCCUUUCCAAGAUACUUCAUCAAAUCAAGAAGCAGCUGCGAGCAUAUAAGAGAGAAAAGAGAGAGAGAGAGAAUUU